GACGAACGCUGGCGGCGUGCUUAACACAUGCAAGUCGAACGGAAAGGCCUCUUUCGGGGGGUACUCGAGUGGCGAACGGGUGAGUAACACGUGAGUAACCUGCCCUUGACUUUGGGAUAACUUCAGGAAACUGGGGCUAAUACCGGAUAGGAGCUCCUGCUGCAUGGUGGGGGUUGGAAAGUUUCGGCGGUUGGGGAUGGACUCGCGGCUUAUCAGCUUGUUGGUGGGGUAGUGGCUUACCAAGGCUUUGACGGGUAGCCGGCCUGAGAGGGUGACCGGCCACACUGGGACUGAGAUACGGCCCAGACUCCUACGGGAGGCAGCAGUGGGGAAUAUUGCACAAUGGGUGGAAGCCUGAUGCAGCAACGCCGUGUGCGGGAUGACGGCCUUCGGGUUGUAAACCGCUUUCGCUCAUGACGAAGCUUUGUGUGACGGUAGUGGGUAAAGAAGCACCGGCUAACUACGUG
rnacentral:rRNA from 1 species